CCAAUAGCGUAUAUUAAAGUUGUUGCAGUUAAAAAGCUCGUAGUUGAAUUUCGGGAUCAGUACGUUGGUCAUGCCUUGGUAUGUACUGGUGUAACUGAUUCCUCCCUUCUGACGAACCGUCAUGCCAUUCACUUGGUGUGGCGGGAAAUCAGGACUGUUACUUUGAAAAAAUUAGAGUGUUUAAAGCAGGCUCGCGCUUGAAUACAUUAGCAUGGAAUAAUGAAAUAGGACGUUAAUCCUAUUUUGUUGGUUUCUAGGAGAGACGUAAUGAUUAAUAGGGAUAGUUGGGGGCAUUAGUAUUCAAUUGUCAGAGGUGAAAUUCUUGGAUUUAUUGAAGACUAACUACUGCGAAAGCAUUUGCCAAGGAUGUUUUCAUUAAUCAAGAACGAAAGUUAGGGGAUCGAAGACGAUCAGAUACCGUCGUAGUCUUAACCAUAAACUAUGCCGACUAGGGAUCGGAUGAUGUUAAUUUUUUAAUGACUCAGUCGGCGCCUUACG
rnacentral:misc_RNA from 1 species